rnacentral:rRNA from 1 species
UACCGAGGGUGCGAGCGUUGUUCGGAAUUAUUGGGCGUAAAGGGCGCGUAGGCGGUGCGGUAAGUCACCUGUGAAAUCUCCUGGCUCAACUGGGAGCUUGCAGGCGAAACUGCCGUGCUGGAGUGUGGGAGAGGUGCGUGGAAUUCCUGGUGUAGCGGUGAAAUGCGUAGAUAUCAGGAGGAACACCUGUGGCGAAGGCGGCUACCUGGACCAGCACUGACACUGAGGCACGAAAGCGUGGGGAGCAAACAGG